AACGGCGGGGAUGCUGAAAGGAUUAAGACUCAGGACGAGGGGGUCAGGAAGCGCCAGGAGGCGAAGACCACAGGAUAGUCAGGAUGACGCGCGUCUUGGAGACGUUUCAAAGGGAAAAGGAAGAAACAGGGACCGUUGGACGCUAAGGGAAAGACAGGGUAAGUCGUUAGCGAACAGGGAAAGAAGAAGCCCGUUAAGGGUGGUCAGUGAGGAAAAAGGCGACAGAGUAAUCUGUCGCCUUUUUUCUUUGCUUGCUU
rnacentral:sRNA from 1 species